rnacentral:rRNA from 1 species
UGGGGAAUUUUGGACAAUGGGCGAAAGCCUGAUCCAGCAAUGCCGCGUGUGUGAAGAAGGCCUUCGGGUUGUAAAGCACUUUUGUCCGGAAAGAAAUCCUUGGCUCUAAUACAGUCGGGGGAUGACGGUACCGGAAGAAUAAGCACCGGCUAACUACGUGCCAGCAGCCGCGGUAAUACGUAGGGUGCAAGCGUUAAUCGGAAUUACUGGGCGUAAAGCGUGCGCAGGCGGUUUGCUAAGACCGAUGUGAAAUCCCCGGGCUCAACCUGGGAACUGCAUUGGUGACUGGCAGGCUAGAGUAUGGCAGAGGGGGGUAGAAUUCCACGUGUAGCAGUGAAAUGCGUAGAGAUGUGGAGGAAUACCGAUGGCGAAGGCAGCCCCCUGGGCCAAUACUGACGCUCAUGCACGAAAGCGUGGGGAGCAAAACAGGAUUAGAUACCCUGGUAGUCCACGCCCUAAAACGAUGUCAACUAGUUGUUGGGGAUUCAUUUCCUUAGUAACGUAGCUAACGCGUGAAGUUGACCGCCUGGGGAGUACGGUCGCAAGAUUAAAACUCAAAUGAAUUGACGGGGUCAUAGCUGUUUCUU